rnacentral:rRNA from 1 species
GACGAACGCUGGCGGCGUGCUUAACACAUGCAAGUCGAACGGUGAAGCUCCAGCUUGCUGGAGUGGAUCAGUGGCGAACGGGUGAGUAACACGUGAGCAACCUGCCCCUGACUCUGGAAUAAGCGCUGGAAACGGCGUCUAAUACUGGAUACGAGAAGGGCCCGCAUGGGCACUUUCUGGAAAGUUUUUCGGUUGGGGAUGGGCUCGCGGCCUAUCAGCUUGUUGGUGAGGUAAUGGCUCACCAAGGCGACGACGGGUAGCCGGCCUGAGAGGGCGACCGGCCACACUGGGACUGAGACACGGCCCAGACUCCUACGGGAGGCAGCAGUGGGGAAUAUUGCACAAUGGGCGAAAGCCUGAUGCAGCGACGCCGCGUGAGGGAUGACGGCCUUCGGGUUGUAAACCUCUUUCAGCAGGGAAGAAGCGAAAGUGACGGUACCUGCAGAAGAAGUACCGGCUAACUACGUG